rnacentral:rRNA from 1 species
GACGAACGCUGGCGGCGUGCUUAACACAUGCAAGUCGAACGGUAAGGCCCUUCGGGGUACACGAGUGGCGAACGGGUGAGUAACACGUGGGUGAUCUGCCCUGCACUUCGGGAUAAGCCUGGGAAACUGGGUCUAAUACCGGAUAGGACUCCUGGCUUCAUGGUUGGGGGUGGAAAGCUUUUGCGGUGUGGGAUGGGCCCGCGGCCUAUCAGCUUGUUGGUGGGGUAAUGGCCUACCAAGGCGACGACGGGUAGCCGGCCUGAGAGGGUGACCGGUCACACUGGGACUGAGAUACGGCCCAGACUCCUACGGGAGGCAGCAGUGGGGAAUAUUGCACAAUGGGCGCAAGCCUGAUGCAGCGACGCCGCGUGAGGGAUGACGGCCUUCGGGUUGUAAACCUCUUUCGGUAGGGACGAAGCGCAAGUGACGGUACCUACAGAAGAAGGACCGGCCAACUACGUGCCAGCCGCCGCCGUAA